rnacentral:misc_RNA from 1 species
UCUCCGUAGGUGAACCUGCGGAAGGAUCAUUCAUAAUAAAGUCUUUUAUUGCACUUUGUAAAGAUCCAUAUACACUUUGUGUGCAAUGUUCGAUCUCCUCAAUCUCGGCGAGAUUUUUAUACAUGAACUCACUCAUUUACGUUUUUGUAUUGUAUAUCUGAGUAAUACUGAAUUCAAAAUACAACUUUCAACAACGGAUCUCUUGGCUCUC